AGUGAACGCUGGCGGUAGGCCUAACACAUGCAAGUCGAACGGCAGCACAGUGAGAGCUUGCUCUUACGGGUGGCGAGUGGCGGACGGGUGAGGAAUACAUCGGAAUCUACUUUUUCGUGGGGGAUAACGUAGGGAAACUUACGCUAAUACCGCAUACGACCUACGGGUGAAAGCAGGGGAUCUUCGGACCUUGCGCGAUUGAAUGAGCCGAUGUCGGAUUAGCUAGUUGGCGGGGUAAAGGCCCACCAAGGCGACGAUCCGUAGCUGGUCUGAGAGGAUGAUCAGCCACACUGGAACUGAGACACGGUCCAGACUCCUACGGGAGGCAGCAGUGGGGAAUGUUGGACAAUGGGCGCAAGCCUGAUCCAGCCAUACCGCGUGGGUGAAGAAGGCCUUCGGGUUGUAAAGCCCUUUUGUUGGGAAAGAAAAGCAGCAGGUUAAUACCCCGCUGUUCUGACGGUACCCAAAGAAUAAGCACCGGCUAACUUCGUG
rnacentral:rRNA from 1 species